rnacentral:rRNA from 1 species
AUUACCGCGGCUGCUGGCACGAAGUUAGCCGGUGCUUAUUCUUCCGGUACCGUCAGAACACCGAAGUAUUAAUCCAGUGCUUUUCUUUCCGGACAAAAGGGCUUUACAACCCGAAGGCCUUCUUCACCCACGCGGCAUGGCUGGAUCAGGCUUGCGCCCAUUGUCCAAAAUUCCCCACUGCUGCCUCCCGUAGG